rnacentral:rRNA from 1 species
GGUGCAGGCGGCUUGAUAAGUCGGAUGUAAAAUCUCUCGGCUUAACUGAGAGGGCGCGUUCGAAGUACUGUCAGGCUGGAGAGCAACAGAGGAAGGUAGAAUUCCCGGUGUAGUGGUGAAAUGCGUAGAUAUCGGGAGGAAUACCCGUGGCGUAGGCGGCCUUCUAGGUUGUUUCUGACGCUGAGGCCCUAAAGCGUGGGGAGCAAACAGGAUCAGAUACCCUGGUAGUCCACGCCUUAAACUAUGGAUACUAGGUAUGAGGGGUAUCGACCCCCUCGUGCCGAAGUUAACACGUUAAGUAUCCCGCCUGGGGAGUACGGCCGCAAGGUUAAA